UGUGACCUCAAAUCAGGUAGGACUACCCGCUGAACUUAAGCAUAUCAAUAAGCGGAGGAAAAGAAACUAACAAGGAUUCCCCUAGUAACUGCGAGUGAAGCGGGAAAAGCUCAAAUUUAAAAUCUGGCAGUC
rnacentral:rRNA from 1 species